rfam:Gossypium hirsutum cultivar TM-1 chromosome 24, whole genome shotgun sequence
CAUUAAAAAUUUCAUCCAUUUCUAUUGUUAAAAACUAGUGUGAUUGACGGAGUAACCAAACAGUUACACGUAGCAUGCCACAUAUACCUCAUGUUGAUUUAUAAAUACUAGUUUUAAUAGUAAAAAUGGGCGAAAUUUUUAACA